UACGUAGGGCGCAAGCGUUAUCCGGAAUUAUUGGGCGUAAAGAGCUCGUAGGCGGUCUGUCGCGUCUGCUGUGAAAACUCAGGGCUUAACCCUGAGCUUGCAGUGGGUACGGGCAGACUAGAGUGCGGUAGGGGAGACUGGAAUUCCUGGUGUAGCGGUGAAAUGCGCAGAUAUCCGGAGGAACACCGGUGGCGAAGGCGGGUCUCUGGGCCGUAACUGACGCUGAGGAGCGAAAGCAUGGGGAGCGAACAGG
rnacentral:rRNA from 1 species